CCUACGGGGGGCUGCAGUGGGGGAUAUUGCACAAUGGGGGGAACCCUGAUGCAGUGACGCCGCGUGGGUGAAGAAGCGCCUCGGCGCGUAAAGCCCUGUCAGCAGGGAAGAAAAUGACGGUACCUGAAGAAGAAGCCCCGGCUAACUACGUGCCAGCAGCCGCGGUAAUACGUAGGGGGCAAGCGUUAUCCGGAUUUACUGGGUGUAAGGGGGGCGCAGACGGCGAUGCAAGCCAGGAGUGAAAGCCCGGGGCCCAACCCCGGGACUGCUCUUGGAACUGCGUGGCUGGAGUGCAGGAGGGGCAGGCGGAAUUCCUGGUGUAGCGGUGAAAUGCGUAGAUAUCAGGAGGAACACCGGUGGCGAAGGCGGCCGGCUGGACUGCAACUGACGUUGAGGCCCGAAAGCGUGGGGAGCAAACAGGAUUAGAUACCCUUGUAGUC
rnacentral:rRNA from 1 species